AGAAGGUCACACCCGUUCCCAUACCGAACACGGAAGUUAAGCUUCUCAGCGCCGAUGGUAGUUGGGGGCUGUCCCCCUGUGAGAGUAGGACGUUGUCAGGC
rnacentral:rRNA from 1 species